GAUGAAGAACGUAGUGAAAUGCGAUACUUGGUGUGAAUUGCAGAAUCCCGUGAACCAUCGAGUCUUUGAACGCAAGUUGCGCCUCAAGCCAUUAGGUUGAGGGCACGUCUGCCUGGGCGUCACAUAUCGUUGCCUGAUGCCAGUUUCCUCGUGAUGGGUGACUGUGCAGGGCGAAUGAUGGCUUCCCGUGAGCAUUGUUGCCUCAUGGUUGGUUGAAAAUUGAGUCCUUGGUAGGGGGCGCCGUGAUAGAUGGUGGUUGAGUGACGAACGAGACCCAAUCAUGUGAGACCCCUACCGAAUUUGGCCUUCAUGACCCACAUGCGUCUUUGGAACGCUCAUGACGAGACCUCAGGUCAGGCGGGGCUACCCGCUGAGUUUAAGCAUAUCAAUAAGCGGAGGA
rnacentral:misc_RNA from 1 species